rnacentral:rRNA from 1 species
AUUGAACGCUGGCGGCAGGCCUAACACAUGCAAGUCGAGCGAGCGGCGGGCGGGAGAGUAAGGUAUGGGGAUGUUCCCGGUGGAGGGGGAUAACUACCGGAAACGGUGGCUAAUACCGCAUUCUAGCGGAUGAGCCCAUUUGGGAUUAUCUAGUAGGAGGGGUAAAGGCUCACCUAGGCGACGAUCCCGAGCUGGUCUGAGAGGAUGAUCAGCCACACUGGAACUGAGACACGGCCCAGACUCCUACGGGAGGCAGCAGUGGGGAAUAUUGCACAAUGGGCGAAAGCCUGAUGCAGCCAUGCCGCGUGUAUGAAGAAGGCCUUCGGAUUGUAAAGCACUUUAAGCGGGGAGGCGUUACCAGCAGAAUAAGCACCGGCUAACUCCGUGCCAGCAGCCGCGGUAAUAC